GGUCUUCGCUGUGCUUUCAAGGCUCCUUCUUGGGAUUGUGUUGCUCUCCGAUGUUCAAAGUGUGGCGAAUGAAGAGGUGGACAUAAACACCCUCGCCAGGAUUCAAAGAUUUUUUAAUUUUAAUUAUGCAACUGGAUCGCAGUAUGCAGUGGCCAUCAAUGUCCCGAUGGAGCAGUGUCAAAGUGGUCCAUCAACAGCUAACUUUCUUGAAAACGACAAGUCAGAAGAUGUUAAGCCCUACAUAAAACGCGACAGUAUGGAAGUCUACCAAGGCACUGAACUCAUUGCUGCAGGGGUUCAUAAAGAUGCACAUUCUGAGCAUUUACUGAUGAAUCCCCCAAAUGAUUCUCCUUUGACACACUUGCUGAAUAACAGUAAUAAUGGAUGUGUGGUUUUCUACACUUUAAACACUCCCUGUGUAGGCAAGUGUCUUAACAGCGAUGUUGUACUUUCAGGUCUUCGUGAAUUACAGAAUUAUCAGGGAAUGAAAGCCUUUGUUUACACGUAUAUCUAUAACAAAGACCAGAACAAUGGAAACCUGCGUAAUGCACUGCAAAAGAUUGCUAAUCGUGUGCCACUUUACCGCUGUGGCAGAAAUGGUUGUAUCUACUGUGGGAAUAAUGUGAUAAAAGCAUGUUUAGACAGUAAAGUCUGACUUAUGUAGAGUUUCUUCAGUGCUUUAACUGAUCUGUGCUUCUGCACUGGAGUUUCUGUAGCUGCCGAGGCUUUUGAUGAUACGUUUCAAUCCUCAAAUGAUCAGUUUAUACUCUGCCUUCUGCUUUUGAUUUAAAAAUGUACAAAUGAGUGAAUUAAUCUUUCAUUUAAAUCAAGCAAUAUGGGGUUCCUAUCAUGAAUUCUGAUUAGUGUACUUUGAUCAUCUGUUUUUAAAAUGCUUGUUUGUUCAUGCUUCAGGUAACAGUAUAUUAAUGGCUUUUACUGCUUGCAGAAAUAAACUUAUACUCAUCAUA